GGAUUAGAUACCCUGGUAGUCCACGCCGUAAACGAUGAUCACUCGAUGUUGGCGACAUACUGUCAGUGUCUGAGCGAAAGCAUUAAGUGAUCCACCUGGGGAGUACGAUCGCAAGAUUGAAACUCAAAGGAAUUGACGGGGGCCCGCACAAGCGGUGGAGCAUGUGGUUUAAUUCGAAGCAACGCGCAGAACCUUACCAUCCCUUGACUUCCCUGUCGCGGGCUCAGAGAUGAGCCUUUCAGUUCGGCUGGACAGGUGACAGGUGCUGCAUGGCUGUCGUCAGCUCGUGCCG
rnacentral:rRNA from 1 species